CGACUGCUGAUUUGCAGACGACAUCAGUCCAUCGUGGACUACGGCUCCACUGCCAGUGCUGCCAACACUGCCGACCGUGCCACGUAUCUCACAGUUGCACCAGCCAGCUGCUCCACUUCCACCGUCGUCAUCACUACGUCUGGGUCCAGAAGCAGCUUCCCGGCAUCCCCACAUCCUCCAGCAACAACAAACCGACACCCACAAGCUGUGCCACAGUUGUUACCGCACUGGCUCUGUCUGCAUUGGCCUGAACCCACCUGCUAAAGAAUCACUUUACUCCAGACCAGUUUGAGCCGACAGAAUUGGUGGAGUGGUAAAACGUAAACCAAAUGCUGUGCCAACAAUUUUUGGUGAUCGUAAAGCUCCUGCCGAGAGGAAACCUGUUGGCCUACUAGAGAAACGGACUGAGGAUACAGAGGUUGGAGAGCCUUCGAAUGUGACCAAUGACAUCAGUCCUGCAGCGAAAUUGGACACGACAGAAGAUGAAGUCACCACCCUGAAGAACCUAG